GUGCUCACUUGGACAGCACGUACACUAAAAUUAGAACACUACAGAGAUUAGCAUGGCCCCUGUGCAAGGAAGACACGCAAUUCAUGAAGUGUUCCAUUAAAGA